UGAAUGUGUUGGUCAAGCUUGGUGGAAUUAUGUAUGUCAAUACAGUGCCAGUGUAUAUUUACAAUGUUCAUACCUUCAAGUAUUUUUUUAUAAAAGUGUAUUUUCCCAAUUUAGAUUGGGUGGGUGGGUCAUGAAAUAAAUUUGGUAAAAUUAGAUGGGCUUUGAAAUUUUUAUCUACAUCCUAAGAUGGGUCACCAAACUUAUUGGAAAAAUUUGUGAUUUACCUCCGGCCCACCCUAGCAGUUACUUUAUGACCAG